rnacentral:rRNA from 1 species
ACGCUAUCACUCCUACGGGAGGCAGCAGUGAGGAAUAUUGGUCAAUGGAGGGAACUCUGAACCAGCCAUCCCGCGUGUAGGAAGACGGCCUUAUGGGUUGUAAACUACUUUUAUACAGGAAGAAACCACUCUACGUGUAGAGUUCUGACGGUACUGUAAGAAUAAGGAUCGGCUAACUCCGUGCCAGCAGCCGCGGUAAUACGGAGGAUCCAAGCGUUAUCCGGAAUCAUUGGGUUUAAAGGGUCCGUAGGUGGAUGAUUAAGUCAGAGGUGAAAGUCUGCAGCUCAACUGUAGAAUUGCCUUUGAUACUGGUUAUCUUGAGUUAUUAUGAAGUAGUUAGAAUAUGUAGUGUAGCGGUGAAAUGCAUAGAUAUUACAUAGAAUACCAAUUGCGAAGGCAGAUUACUAAUAAUAUACUGACACUGAUGGACGAAAGCGUGGGGAGCGAACAGGAUUAGAUACCCUGGUAG